GCUGGGGCUCAGUGGUAGAGCGCUAGCCUAGCAUGUAUGAGGUGCUGGGUUUGAUUCUCAGUACCCAGAA
rnacentral:tRNA from 1 species